rnacentral:rRNA from 1 species
GAUGAACGCUGGCGGCGUGCCUAAUACAUGCAAGUCGAGCGAACAGACUAGGAGCUUGCUCCUCUGACGUUAGCGGCGGACGUGUGAGUAACACGUUGAUAACCUACCUAUAAGACUGGGAUAACUUCGUGAAACCGGAGCUAAUACCGGAUAAUAUAUUGAACCGCAUUGUUCAAUAGUGAAAGACGGUUUUGCUGUCACUUAUAGAUGGAUCCGCGCCGCAUUAUCUAGUUGGUAAGGUAACGGCUUACCACGGGAACGAUGCGUAGCCGACCUGAGAGGGGGAUCGGCCACACUGGAACUGAGACACGGUCCAGACUCCUAAGGGAGGCAGAAGUAGGGAAUCUCGCGAAAUGGGCGAAAGCUUGACGGAGAAACGCCGCGUGAGUGAUGAAGGUCUUCGGAUCGUAAAACUCGGUUAUUAGGGAAGAACAAAUGUGUAAGUAACUAUGCACGUCUUGACGGUACCUAAUCAGAAAGCCACGGCUAACUACGUG